GGGGCUGGGGGCGGGGGGGAGGGGUUUGGGUUAUGAUGAAUUAUGAUUAUGACUCGUAGGGUCUUUAGAAUGAAGAUCUUUCGGAGCAGCAGGACGCCCAGCGCAGCUGUAGGUUUAAUUGGCUGCGGUCACAUGGCGCUCCGUUCCUGUGUCUGUGAUCAGCAAGUUCGGUUCUCCUCAGAGACAGAGUCGUAUAGGGAGGCAACAAGGGAAAGGGGAGAGCAGGGGCGUGUCUAAAGGGGUGGCAUGGGGUGGCACCCCCCCCCCCCCCCCCGAAAUAUGAUUGGCCCCCCCUGGUGCCCCCCCAGCGCCACUGGGUUAGCGUACUGUCAAAACAGUUAUUCAAGACGAAACGAUUUUCAGGCUCUUGUGCAGUGCCACUUUUCAUGUAAUACCACCUGUAUUAGGGCACAGGGCACUGCACAAGAGCCUGAACAUUGUGCCCAGUGUUUUCUAAGCCAAUGCUCAACGCUGUAUUUGUUUCUGAUAUAAUUUUUCUGAUUUCCCAUGGCCUCCCCCUGACUGGUUCUUGCCCCCCCCCCCUGUGCCACCUCAUUUAAACAAUCCUGGAAUUGCCCCUGGAGGAGGGACCUCUGCUUUCUGUCCUACUCUACUCCUCUUUGUGAAUCUGCAAACUUUUUUUUUUAUUUUCCAUUUUCUGAAAUGUUUUAAACUCUGUAGAGAUUAUUGACCUUAGAAACUUUAUUUUGUUUUUUUGUUUUUAUUAAAAAAAUGUAUCAUGUUUCCUUUUUGUUUUGGUUUGUGGGGAAAUUUUUUUUUUGUGAAGCUGAUCGUUUUUUUUUUAUUUUGCUACUUUAUAAGUUUUUAGUGAUACUGUCGGUGUGGAAUUUCUGUCUAAAAAGGUUGGGAGUGACUAACCCUCUCAGGAAAAAAACAAAACGAAAAAAAAAUGGGAAUUGAAAUGUAUAUGUGUGUGGGAGAAAGGGAGGGGAAGUCUUUCUGUCCCUCCACCUCUCCCUCCCUCUCCCCACUUUGAAGACUGUUCAGAGACUUUACCUUCCUGUCGAUAAGCACAUGCAGGUGUUUGCUGAUCAUGUAUUGAUGUACUUUUUCCUCUAUCCAUUUCUUAUGGUUUGUAAAUCUAUUUAAAACCUGAAAAAAGUGAAUAAAAAAAACAUUUAUUAGAAUAGUUCUGUCAUUUUGUGAAUUAAGGGGGGAGGGUGUAAAGGUAUGUUGCUUUGAGAGUGUACCCCCCCGAGGGUUUCCAUACAUAAAGGCAGUGCAUUCUGGGUAGACUCUAGGCAUUGUUCUGGGUUCGGCUGCGUCUGAAGGGUCUUCCUCUGACUCGGCAAGCUCGACCUUUGAACUGCAGCUGACGUCACAAGCUCUGGAGGGGAGCACAUGCUCGUCUGUAUCGUUAAAAAAAAACAAAGAGGAGAAAGAAAAGAAAAAGAGUGAGUGUGGUUUAUUCGUGGAGCGUCCCUCUAAUCCUCCUGUGUGUUCCUUUGUAGAGGCUGUGCGGAAUCCUGGGAGGGCUCGGGAUGCACACAGUCGGAUCUGAGGCGAAACCCUCACAGCUCCCUGAAAGGAUCGUACACAGGGCUCCCUUGUCCCGGUGUCUUGUCGUCCUGUGGAACAGCUGGGUCACCAGCAGCCGCCACCCCCCCCCCUCCUUCCUCCAUUGUCCGCUGCACAAUGCGGCAGUCGGCAGCUGUUAAAAGAAGAUUGGAUUUUUCAUAUUUGGCGGGGGCAUUAUGCCCGUUUUUCAGACAAAUGUCGGUGUGUAUCAGGUUGUCAGGGUAACGGCGGUUUCUUUCUACUACUGGUAAAAAAAAAAAAAAAAAAUUGAUUUUCAAUAUGGGGGGCCUGCCCCCGCAGCCCUGGCACGGUGGCGCCGACCCGGGCACGCCGUGUUCCGGACGUGUGCUCCACGCGUUCGGCGCGUGACAGGGCCCGAAAACGGCGCCGGGUCUUUCUCCCGCUCGCCCGCCCCCCCGCUCGCCCGCUGCUCCACAAUGAGGCUCCAGGUGAAUCUCUCACUCGGGGGUGAAGUGCCCAUUGUCCCACAGCCUGCUUUUUAAAAAUUGUAUUUUUA